UCUCAGUUCGGAUCGGAGUCUGNAACCCGACUCCGUGAAGCUGGAUUCGCUAGUAAUCGCGCAUCAGCCAUGGCGCGGUGAAUACGUUCCCGGGCCUUGUACACACCGCCCGUCAAGCCAUGGAAGCCGGGGGUGCCUGAAGUGUGCAGCCGCAAGGAGCGCCCUAAGGUAAAACCGGUGACUGGGGCUAAGUCGUAACAAGGUAUC
rnacentral:rRNA from 1 species